UACGUAGGGGGCAAGCGUUGUCCGGAAUCAUUGGGCGUAAAGAGCGCGUAGGCGGUCCGGUAAGUCCGCUGUGAAAGUCAAGGGCUCAACCCUUGAAUGCCGGUGGAUACUGUCGGGCUAGAGUCCGGAAGAGGCGAGUGGAACUCCUGGUGUAGCGGUGGAAUGCGCAGAUAUCAGGAAGAACACCGACGGCGAAGGCAGCUCGCUGGGACGGUACUGACGCUGAGGCGCGAAAGCGUGGGGAGCGAACAGG
rnacentral:rRNA from 1 species